ensembl:lncRNA
GUUUUUUUUCCUGUCAUAUGCCCCAAAAAGGUUGGGGAUCAGCCCUGCCUCUUUGUUCCUCGGUUAUACAACAUCGGAAGAGACCUGGCUGGGGACUGAGGCGGUUGGGACCUUGCCGGCGUAAAUAAUAAUUACCGGAGGGGAAUCGCCAACUCGGUCGCCUUCGUACGCGUUGGGGCUCCUGGCUCGUAGCUCUCCGGCAGCGGCGGGUGGUUUCCCUGACGGGAGGAGAUGUUGGCGCCGCUCUAAGCCUUGGAUCGCUGCUCCCCGCUCUCCACUGGAGCCGCCUUCGUUAUUUCCAGAAUUGGGGUGUUUUUUUUUCUUAUCCCGGGGAGGACGUCGCAGUUCUGGUUUUUGCCUCGGGUGCGUCCGCCUUGCCGCUGUCCAGCCGGAGCCGCGGCCCGCCGCGCUGGGCGCCUGUGCUGUGUGCCGCCGGUGCUUUUUCCGAGUUUCUUUUGUGGCAUCGCGUUGAUCCUUGCGGGAGCCAGAGCUGUAGCUUGUCUCCUGAGAGCGGAAGUAGUGUGAUGAAGAUGUCAACUUUGGAAAUUUGGGAUUGCAUUAACGCUUCCUUCGGGGUUUUAACGUUGUCCGUCGUGGCUGAGCGUUGUGAUGUAGUGUUUAAUUAAAUGGCCUCGUGUGCUCGUGUAAUUUUGUACAUAUGUUUACUAUUUUGUAGAGUUCUUUUUUUUUUUUUUGUUGCGGUUGUUUCUCGGAGGCCUCACGUCGUUUACGGGCUUUACGGUGAAUGAGGCAUGUGUGCCAUAAAUACACGUGUGUGCCAUAAAUACGGCAAGCCAAGGAACCCGCUGCCUUACCCACCGCCCGGCUUAUGCAGUUCAGGCCAUUUCAAAUGCAGAAAUAGCGUCUGCGUCUUGCCAAGUGUGUGGCCCGUUGUACGUUUACGUUAUAGGGGUGGACCGAAGCGGGGGUCUUGUAAAAACGUUGUUCGUUGGCGGUCUGGAUAUAGCUAGUGUUCAAGUGUGCCUGGGCAGCGUGAUUUUUGGCUUGGAGCAGUGAAAAUACUGCCUCUCCGCUGAAUCAAAAAACUGGCCGCGGACCGUGGUAGCUCGCUGCGUUUCGCUUCGUGCCUCCCGGGCUGCUUUUAGAGGCAGCGUGGCCUCGGCGCGCGCUAGGGAAGGGCCGCGUUGGUUAUUCUGGCUGCGGAUAUGGACUCCAAACUGUGGUGUCCGCCGAAAUAGCGUGUCCUGACCCCAGAAGUAAAUAAGCUGUCCUGGAAAAAACCAGCCGUGCCGCGAGAGCCCGUAGCGUGCGCUGGGUCAGUCCGAGGUUGCCCUGCUGCGUAGCUUGGUCAGGAAAACGCGUGAUGUGAAGCUGCUCGUAGAAGGAUUAAGCGACGGCAAGCGAAGGCCGCUGCUUUGGAAUAAGAUUGGCUGCACAGGAGUUUUCUGCGCUAUGAUAUUGCACUCCGGUUGUUUCAGCUUUCCUGGAUAACAGCCCUAUGACUAGUCAGCCGUGCAGAUGUCAACUUUCGAACUUCAGGUAUUUUGGUGCGAGGACUGUUUAAGUGCUGGAAUUUUAUAAUUUUUCUGUCGCUCAGAAGUCUGAAUCAUCUUUUCUUAGGCUUAAAACAGCCAGUUCCACUUUUGGCUGAGCUCAAGCCUGGAAGAUUUCAGCCUCAUCAGUGAAAAUCACAACCACAAAUGACGGCAGGAGCUCAGRCUGGGAGCGCCGGGGCAGCCUUUGGGGCAGAUCUUGCUUCUAGGCUACGUUAUGGCAAACUUUUGCUGCCAUGUGCGCGUACGUACUCAGGGAAUGUUCCCAUCACUGCUUCCACCUGCUUGUCAUUYCCCAGCGGAGGGAGAUUUCCAGGCAGCCUCUCAGUCUCUUGAAGGCUUUGGGAAUUUUUACCUUCUCCUCCUGUGAUCCRGAAAGGGGCCGGGAAAAGUAUCUUCUGGGAAAGAAGCUGAGGUGCAGUGGCUCUGCAAUGCCCCUUAUCCCUCUGCAAGAAAAUUUAAUAUAGACGUCUAUACCUAAGAUCGCUGUGUGCUGUCAGUAGGAAUCAGGUAGUGUUGGUGAUUUUUCAGUGCAAGAAGCACUGUGAAAUUUAGCCUUGGACCUCAUCUUUCUUGCUGCUUUUUCUAAAGUAGAUCCCUAGGGAAAAAAAAAUGUAAUUAACCUUUUUGGUUUUGCAGAUUACCCAGCGAUUGAGUUACUCAAUAAAAUCAUUUUAAAAUACA